rnacentral:SRP_RNA from 1 species
GCUGGGUGCGGUGGUGCGUGCCUGUAGUCCCAGCUACUCGGGAGGCUGAGGCUGGAGGAUCUAUUGAGUCCAGGAGUUCUGGGCUGUAGUGCGCUAUGCUGAUCGGGUGUCCGCACUAAGUUUGGCAUCAAUAUGGUGACCUCCCGGCAGUGGGGGACCACCAGAUUGCCUAAGGAGGGGUGAACCAGCCCAGGUCGGAAAUGGAGCAGGUCAAAACUCCCAUGCUGAUCAGUAGUGGGAUCGUGCCUGUGAAUAGCCACUGCAUGCCAGCCUGGGCAACAUAGUGAGACCCUGCCUCU